GUAAGCAAGUGAGACUUCUUAGAGGGACUGGUGUCCUACAAGGCGCACGAGAAAGAGCAAUAACAGGUCUGUGAUGCCCUAAGAUGUUCGGGGCCGCACGCGUGCUACAAUGACGAUGCUAAUGAGUUUGAUAUUCUGGCUCGGAAGAGUCGGGCAAACUUGUGAAUCAUCGUCGUGACUGGGAUUGGGGUUUGUAAUUAUCCCCCAUGAACCAGGAAUUCCUAGUAAGUACAAGUCAUAAGCUUGUGCUGAUUACGUCCCUGCCCUUUGUACACACCGCCCGUCGCUACUACCGAUUGAACGGUUUAGCAAGGUCAUUGGAUUGGCCCUCAUGCGGCUCGCGUCGCUGAGAGCUGAGAAGAUGACCGAACUUGAUCGUUUAGAGGAAGUACAAGUCGUAACAAGGUUUCCGUAGGUGAACCUGCGGAAGGAUCACU
rnacentral:rRNA from 1 species